rnacentral:rRNA from 1 species
CCUACGGGAGGCUGCAGUGGGGAAUAUUGGACAAUGGGGGCAACCCUGAUCCAGCCAUGCCGCGUGUGUGAAGAAGGCCCUCGGGUUGUAAAGCACUUUCAGUGAGGAAGAACGCCUGGUGGUUAAUACCCUUCAGGAAAGACAUCACUCACAGAAGAAGCACCGGCUAACUCCGUGCCAGCAGCCGCGGUAAUACGGAGGGUGCGAGCGUUAAUCGGAAUUACUGGGCGUAAAGCGCGCGUAGGUGGCUUGAUAAGCCGGUUGUGAAAGCCCCGGGCUCAACCUGGGAACGGCAUCCGGAACUGUCAAGCUAGAGUGCAGGAGAGGAAGGUAGAAUUCCCGGUGUAGCGGUGAAAUGCGUAGAGAUCGGGAGGAAUACCAGUGGCGAAGGCGGCCUUCUGGACUGACACUGACACUGAGGUGCGAAAGCGUGGGUAGCAAACAGGAUUAGAUACCCGUGUAGUC